ACUAAUUCUAGCCCUACCCAAUACAAAUAAAACAAUCUACCUAAAUAAACCAAAACAUUUCAUAUAAUAAAGUAUUAGAGAAAGAAAUUGAACUUAAGAGCUAUAGAAUAAGUACCGCAAGGGAAAGAUGAAAGAACAAUCAAAAGUAUAAAUAAGCAAAGAUUAAACCUUGUACCUUUUGCAUAAUGAAUUAACUAGAAAACCCCUAACUAAAAGAAUUAAAGCUAGAAACCCCGAAACCAAACGAGCUACCUAAAAACAACUUCAUGAGUAAACCCGUCUAUGUAGCAAAAUAGUGGAAUGAUUUUUAGGUAGAGGUGAAAAGCCUACCGAGCUUGGUGAUAGCUGGUUACCCAAAAAUGAAUUUUAGUUCAACUUUAAGCUUACUAAAAGGAAACAAAAACUUACAUGUAAACUUAAAUUAUAGCCAAAAGAGGUACAGCUCUUUAGGAAUGGAAAAAACCUUUAAUAGAGAAUAAAUACAUAAAACAAACUUAACCAUUGUAGGCCUAAAAGCAGCCACCAACAAAGAAAGCGUUCAAGCUCAACAUAAAAAACAAACUAAUCCAAAUAUUAACAAUAAAUUCCUAUAUUCAAAACUGGGUUAAUCUAUAAGUCUAUAGAUGAAAUACUGUUAAUAUGAGUAACAAGAACUUACUCUCCAAGCACAAGUUUAUAACAACUCGGAUAACCAUUGUUAGUUAUAGGACAUUAGAUAAUAAAUACAACUAAAUAAUCUAAAUCUCAACCGUUAACCCAACACAGGAGUGCUUAAAGGAAAGAUUAAAAAGAAUAAAAGGAACUCGGCAAAUAUGAAUUCCGCCUGUUUACCAAAAACAUCACCUCUAGCAUUACAAGUAUUAGAGGCAUUGCCUGCCCAGUGACCUUCAAGUUUAACGGCCGCGGUAUCCUGACCGUGCAAAGGUAGCAUAAUCAUUUGUCCCUCAAUUAGGGACUAGUAUGAAUGGCUAAACGAGAAUUCAACUGUCUCUUAUUCUAAAUCAGUGAAAUUGACCUUCCAGUGAAGAGGCUGGAAUAAAAUAAUAAGACGAGAAGACCCUAUGGAGCUUUAAUUAACUAACCUAAUUAUAACAAUCAAACCCUAAUGGAACAAAAUCAUAAACAUUACGCUAGCAAUUUCGGUUGGGGUGACCUCGGAGAACAAAAAAUCCUCCGAAUGAUUAUAGCAUAGACAAACAAGUCAAAGCAACCCUCUAAAUCUCAUUGAUCCAAAAUUCUUUGACCAACGGACCAAGUUACCCUAGGGAUAACAGCGCAAUCCUAUUUAAGAGUCCAUAUCGACAAUUAGGGUUUACGACCUCGAUGUUGGAUCAGGACAUCCCAAUGGUGCAGAAGCUAUUAAAGGUUCGUUUGUUCAACGAUUAAAGUCCUACGUGAUCUGAGUUCAGACCGGAGUAAUCCAGGUCGGUUUCUAUCUAUUUACAAUUCCUCCCAGUACGAAAGGACAAGAGAAAUAAAGCCAACUCAUAAAUGAGCGCUCUAAAACCAAUAUAUGAAUAAAUAUUAAUAUAGUAAUUAUGUAAUACUACUAAUCCAGACAAGAU
rnacentral:rRNA from 1 species